UCUAGUGGCGGACGGGUGAGUAACGCGUGGGUAACCUGCCUUAUACAGGGGGAUAACAGUCAGAAAUGACUGCUAAUACCGCAUAAGCGCACAGGGCCGCAUGGCCCGGUGUGAAAAACUCCGGUGGUAUAAGAUGGACCCGCGUUGGAUUAGCUUGUUGGUGGGGUAACGGCCCACCAAGGCGACGAUCCAUAGCCGGCCUGAGAGGGUGAACGGCCACAUUGGGACUGAGACACGGCCCAGACUCCUACGGGAGGCAGCAGUGGGGAAUAUUGCACAAUGGGGGAAACCCUGAUGCAGCGACGCCGCGUGAGCGAAGAAGUAUUUCGGUAUGUAAAGCUCUAUCAGCAGGGAAGAUAAUGACGGUACCUGACUAAGAAGCCCCGGCUAACUACGUGCCAGCAGCCGCGGUAAUACGUAGGGGGCAAGCGUUAUCCGGAUUUACUGGGUGUAAAGGGAGCGUAGACGGCAAGGCAAGUCUGAUGUGAAAACCCAGGGCUUAACCCUGGGACUGCAUUGGAAACUGUCUGGCUCGAGUGCCGGAGAGGUAAGCGGAAUUCCUAGUGUAGCGGUGAAAUGCGUAGAUAUUAGGAAGAACACCAGUGGCGAAGGCGGCUUACUGGACGGUAACUGACGUUGAGGCUCGAAAGCGUGGGGGAGCAAACAGGAUUAGAUACCCUGG
rnacentral:rRNA from 1 species